UACGUAGGGAGCAAGCGUUGUCCGGAAUCAUCGGGCGUAAAGAGCGUGUAGGCGGUCCUGUAAGUCCGCUGUGAAAGUCAAGGGCUCAACCCUUGAAUGCCGGUGGAUACUGCAGGACUAGAGUCCGGAAGAGGCGAGUGGAAUUCCUGGUGUAGCGGUGAAAUGCGCAGAUAUCAGGAGGAACACCGAUGGCGAAGGCAGCUCGCUGGGACGGUACUGACGCUGAGACGCGAAAGCGUGGGGAGCAAACAGG
rnacentral:rRNA from 1 species